UACAGAGGUCUCAACCGUUGUUCGGAUUCAUUGGGCGUAAAGGGUGCGUAGGCGGUCGCGCAGGUCGGAUGUGAAAUCUCAGGGCUCAACCCUGAAACUGCAUUCGAUACUGCGUGGCUAGAGUGCUGGAGAGGAGACUGGAAUUUACGGUGUAGCAGUGAAAUGCGUAGAUAUCGUAAGGAAGACCAGUGGCGAAGGCGAGUCUCUGGACAGCAACUGACGCUGAGGCACGAAGGCCAGGGGAGCAAACGGG
rnacentral:rRNA from 1 species